UAUUCGCAUUGGUAAAAGUGGUAUGAAGGUAUUUACAUUGUUAUAUUAAAAGAAAAAACGUGACAUUUGUUUAAAUUCUGACAUUUAUCGCUGACACAUGCUAUAUAAACUUUAGUGCUCCAAGAAAAUUUUCCAUUUCAUGUAUCUGGGUGAAUAGGAAAGUGUACAUACUAUUACACAGAAAAAGAGGUCAGAAUUUGGUGGUCUACAAGAAAUAUGUCAAACAACAGUAUUACCGGCUCAACGCAAACUACACUUGGGACAGCACAAGACAACACCAAUAUAGCUAUAACUAUUAAUGUUGGUCGACUCCCAUUGAAACGAAAUAGUCAAACUGCAAGUAGAGAUUUUAAUCAAAAUGGAAAUUGUCGUUUCAUAUGGAAGUCUUCAGAUCCCGGCGAUCCACGCAAUAUGGACAUUGAACUAACUAAUGAAAACUUUGGAAAACAGAUAACAAAUGAAUGAGUGAAGACUGACGACAAAGUUUGCAUGAAUUAAUCAUAUGAACACAUUCCAUGCAUAUCAGAUAUGGACAUAUCUGGACGUAAACCAACAACAACAAUCAAUAAGUCAUACUCAUAAGAAACAUAAGUUAACCUGUGACCUGUUAUUCUUCUUUAAUCAACUGUUUGUCUAGUACUGUAACAGAUACUAUUCUAUGGCCAAAUUUGUAAAUGUAUAUGUAUGACAAAGUGCACUAACAUGGAUAUAUAGGUUAAUCUAUAUAUACUGCAAACAUUAUAUCCCAACUCAUAGAGGGGGGCUAUAUUUUAUUCACCUUGUCCGUCUUAUCAUUCGUUCGUCUGUUGACUUUAAAACAUCAUAGAAAUUGCAACUUCAUCUAGAAAAUUUCGCCAAAUUUAUACUCAUCACAAAAUCUCAAGACCAAAUGACACAGAAAUUAACAACUAUAGGUCACCGUACGGCGUUCAACAAUGAGCAAAACCCAUACCGCAAAGUCAGCUACAAAAGGCCCCUAAAUGACAAUUGUAAACAAUUAAAACCAGAAAACUAACGGCCUAAUUUUUGUACAAAAAAAUAAGCAUAUUAGUUUUUUGUUGUGGUAUUGUACAUGUUGUACAUGAAUAAAGCCAUUGGUUUACUUG